AUAAGCUGCUUCUAAUCUGAGAAGCAAACGGCAUGCUCUACUAGGCUAGCCACCCUAGCUCUACUGCCGACAUCUCGGCCGUGACGGGAACCACGUGGUUCAACUGCAUCUGCAGUGCCUAAUCCGACCGCUGACAGCACGCCAAUUUUAUUGCGUGAGUGCAGAUCGUGAGUUCAGAUCGUGGCGAUGCUGAAUCAACUGGCAUGUAGGCCGCGCUUCAACUUCAACAGCAUCGGGCCGCCUCCGCGUAACGAUGAGAAUGCUUCUCAACCAUGUUCUCAACACAACACUGAUCGUGCAAGUCUAUGCACUACCGACUCAUUUCGUCAUCAAGCCGAAAAGGGCGGAAUGAGGGUUCACAUCAAGGUAGAGCGGAGAAGCCCUCCAACUAUGCCACCUCCGCGGUUCAUAUGUGCUGACGUUGAAGAAGGGACAAAUACCCUUAAGACUCCUUUUGACAUGAGUGUUGACAUUAAGGCAGAAGAGAGCAGCCUUCCACCAUCACCGCCUCCAUGGUUGGUGUGUGUAAGCAUCAAGGAAGAGCCAAAGAGCCCUUCAGCCACGCCGCCUCACGUAAGAAUCACCAGACAUGGAUAGAAAAGGACCAUUGGAGCCUCAAGUACUGGUGCCAAUGAUUUUCUCCCCAGCCGAAUCAACACACAGCACUGAAACUUUAGGAAAGCACAGCUUUUAUGGACGGUGACAGAAGGAUAUGUGGAGGUGCUACAGGAUCAUCACAGGAAAAGUCUAAAAGGAGCAGCAACAGUUACUACACGAGUAGCGAAUGUGCGACAAAGCAUCAGAUGGCUCACACAAAGGAGAAACGGCAUGGCUGUGCAGUCUGUGGAAAGCGCUUUGCUUCGAGAACACACCUAAUUCAACAUGAGCGUCUUCACACAGGAGAGCAGCCCUAUGCUUGCCUCAUCUGUGGCCGGAAGUUCAACCGAAAAUCAAAUCUCACUAGGCACGAGGCUGUUCACACAGAUGAGAAGCUGUAUCCCUGCUCAGUUUGUGGCCGUAGGUAUGGUCAGAGAAGCAGUCUGUUAAAACAUGAGGUCACCCACAAGGAAGUGAAACCUUAUGCUUGCCUCACCUGUGGCCGGCAGUUCACCCAGAAAUCGCAUCUGACUAGGCACAACGCUGUUCACACAGACGAGAAGCGGUACCCUUGUUCAGUAUGUGGUCGCAGGUUUACUUGCAAUAGUAAUCUCCUAGCACACCAGAUGACCCAUAAGGAAAAUAAGCCUUUUGCUUGUCUCAUCUGCGCCCGGCAGUUUGCACAGAAAACAAAUUUCACCAAACACAAGGCUGCACACAUGGAUGAGAAGCCAUACCCCUGCUCAGUGUGUGGUCGUAGGUUUAUUUACACAAGCAGUCUUCAAACACACGAGAUCCUGCACCAGGAACAGACGCCCUAUGCGUGCCUCAUCUGUGGCCGGCAGUUUACCCGGCUAACAAGUUUAAUUCGGCACAAGGGUAAUCACACAGGUAAAAAACCACACUCCUGCUCGCUCUGUGGUCUCAAGUUUGUUUACAAGAGUAGUCUCACAAAACACAGACUCGUCCACAAGGAAGACAAGCUAUAGGGACCCCAACUCAAAUCAGCAUAGUGAUGACAAUGCCGCGCUGUGGCGGCAAGUUCUGAAGAAACUGGGGAUAGGCGCGGCAGAGGGUGCGGCCAAUUCAGCCUGUUUCGCUGGCAGUGGCGGCAUGCGUUUUCUGGUUGGUCAUCAGUGCGAGAAACUUCGGUGCUGUGCCAUAAGCUUGGCACGCUGAACCAAGAGGCUUGCUUUGUGAAACUGCAUUUUCGCGAUUGUAGAAACAACCCCACAAAGGCAAAGUCUGAAGUAUUUUUGUGUGCCGCAACAGUCAUGCGAUUCGUCUGUAAAACUGUAUCGGUUCCCGGACAACUCGUACGAGAGAGAAAGUAAGCAAGCAUAGAUCACGGCAGGUAAAAGAAUGAAGUAAGUUCUAGCUCUUUCUCGCCUUCUGUUUUUAUUGUAUUGAUUCUUGGCUUGAAAUCGUUUGUUUCGACUACCCAAAUCAGUAUAUGUAACGCGGCAGGUCCAUGCAACGACAGCAGUAAUUAUUGCUCGCUGUCUCCUGUCAUCAUGGAAGUCAAGUUAUGUAUGGUUGUAUGUUGAAGGAACUUUGUGUUUUGAUUCUGUGUGUUUGUGAGACGUAUAUGAUGUUAGAUGUCCACACUUCUAUGCGUCAUACUGCAUUUAGCAUUGCUUUGUUAGUUACUUCCAACUGAACUCUACACGUGUUUGCCGCCUGCAAUUUACGUGUCGUGAAGGCAGCAUCAUCGUGCCAUAACGAACGUCUGUGCAUAUUGAGACUUCUCGAUUGUUUUGCUGGUUUGUUCUAUUUUUGCCGCUUUAUUAGAGUGGUAUUUCUUCGAGCAGCUGAAUCUAACUGGCACUUUAUUCGUGAAUUGUAAUUGACACUCUCAGCAGACUGUGUGUGUUUUUUUUCAUGUGUGCCGUUUGUGUGCAUGUCAAACUCCGCACGGUACUUUUUGAGCAUACGUAUAUGUGGGCGCUAAAUGUGCCAGCUCAGCGUACGCCGGAUAUCCUAUCAUGCCUGAAAUUUGGCACCUCUCACGGUGAGCUCCGUUUGCGCAGCAGGUCUUAUACACCUGUAUAGUCGAUGUUCUCAUAAAAGGAAUGUGAAAACCGAGAUAAGAAAUGGAAAAAAAAACUGGCAGAUACCACGUACAGUGGGAAUUGAUGAAUGCGAAGCACGAAUGAGGAAGGUUGAAAUGUCACAUAAAAAUCAGCUCAAAGUUGUGAGGCACUGACGUAAAUUAUGCCGUACAUGACUUCCAUGCCAUGAUUAUCAUGAUUGUGCCUGGCCUUUGGGCUCAUCACCCAUUCACGUCACUUAACACCGACUUUGGUACAGUUGAUGAUAUGUGGGCUUUAAA